GUGGAUUAGAUACCCUGGUAGUCCACGCCGUAAACGAUGGGUACUAGGUGUAGGGGUUUCGAUACCUCUGUGCCGCCGUUAACACAAUAAGUACCCCGCCUGGGGAGUACGGUCGCAAGAUUAAAACUCAAAGGGAUUGACGGGGGGCCCGCACAAGCAGCGGAGCAUGUGGUUUAAUUCGAAGCAACGCGAAGAACCUUACCUAGACUUGACAUCUCCUGCAUUACCCUUAAUCGGGGAAGUCCCUUCGGGGACAGGAAGACAGGUGGUGCACGGUCGUCGUCAGCU
rnacentral:rRNA from 1 species